AUUGAACGCUGGCGGCAUGCCUUACACAUGCAAGUCGAAUGGUAGCAGGUCUUCGGAUGCUGACGAGUGGCGAACGGGUGAGUAAUACAUCGGAACGUGCCUAGUAGUGGGGGAUAACUACUCGAAAGAGUGGCUAAUACCGCAUGAGAUCUACGGAUGAAAGCAGGGGAUCGCAAGACCUUGUGCUACUAGAGCGGCCGAUGGCAGAUUAGGUAGUUGGUGGGAUAAAAGCUUACCAAGCCGACGAUCUGUAGCUGGUCUGAGAGGACGAUCAGCCACACUGGGACUGAGACACGGCCCAGACUCCUACGGGAGGCAGCAGUGGGGAAUUUUGGACAAUGGGCGCAAGCCUGAUCCAGCAAUGCCGCGUGCAGGAUGAAGGCCUUCGGGUUGUAAACUGCUUUUGUACGGAACGAAAAGCCCCGGGUUAAUACCCUGGGGUCAUGACGGUACCGUAAGAAUAAGCACCGGCUAACUACGUGCCAGCAGCCGCGGUAA
rnacentral:rRNA from 1 species